UCCCUCCCCCCCGCGCAGCAAGUGCAAGGCCGGGGGGUUUGGAUUGGAUGUGUGUACGCGAAGAAAUGUUAACCAUGACCAUGUCAAUUGAGUUUUAAGUGCUCCGUACGAACCAAUAAUUGAACUAUCUUUAUUCUAUAGAAACGUCUAAAAGUGCAGUUCAACUUCGCCACCAGUAGCUCACCGACCAACCUCGUAUAGUUAAAGUUACUAGUAACUUUCUUCUGCUAAGUGAGGUUGGACGUCGAACGACCUUUGAAAAUAAAGUAGAUAAAAAUAAAUAUGACUUAACUUCAAGAGGCUGCAGUACAAAGGGGUUGAUAUAUUUGAAUCGAUGUCAGACUGCCAUAUCAAAGAAUGGAUGAAGUAGCGUUUCACCUUAAUCAAAGACUGGAAUUUAUUCAGGUCCAGUUAUUAUCUGCGAUCCAGCAUGGGAACAUGGCUUUCCAAAGUCGGUUACAUGAAUUACACAACCUAGCUCUAGUAGCAAUUGAAAGUAAUCAAGUCACAGCAGUUCGUCAAACAUUUAACUCAGUUUGGGAAAAGUUUGUCCAUCUUAUUCGGGAAGUGAGAUCAUCCUUGCCUCAAUCUGCAAAUCCAGUUGUUUUAUAUGAUGAGUUUAUGCUGAUGCUAGGGAAUGAGUUAAACAGACGAAAUUUCUACACUGGUUGUGUGGGAUUUGCCCUUGGUGGCAUGAUUGGUUUAGUGGUGGGUAUGUCCCUUCACUCAACCCCAACACCUAGUCAGAGAAUCAGAGGAGUUGUGUGUAUUGAUUACAGAGGACUGGAUGCCGUCUCAACUAGUGAUGAUGUUCCCAUGCCAGUUGUGACUGCUCCUGACCAAUUGCUAAUUGAAGUUCGUGCUGCUUCACUUGAUUACCUGGACAUUAAAAUCUGUUCUGGUUAUGGGCGAGUUUUACGCAGACAGCUGCAUAAGUAUACUCCUAGUUCUCCUAAAGAUUUGCCCUUUGUUCUCGGAAGAGAUUGCUCAGGUGUAGUAGUUGACAUUGGACAUGAUGUGAAAAAUUUUGAGAUUGGUGAUGAGGUAUGGCUUGCAGUCCCAUACUGGGCUUCAGGAACUUUAGCUCAGUAUGUGGUAGCAAGAGAACGUCAAGUUGCCAGAAAACCAAGAGGAAUUGGGUUUGAGGGAGCUGCAGCUUUACCAUUUUCUGGCUCAGUAGCAUGGGAUGCCAUGGUAAAUCAGGCUAAAUUAAAUAGUCACAACACUCGAGGAAAGAGGGUUCUUGUUCAUUGUGGAAGCAGUCCAGUUGGCUGUGUCGUGACUCAGUUAGCAAGACUCUGGGGAGCAAAUGUUACUGUUACAUGUCCAGCGAGAGCACUAACUGUGUGUAAUGCUCUUGGGGCAGAUGAUACUAUAGUAUUUGAGGAAGGUCCAGUGGACAAACAACUUGCAACACGGAAAAGGUUUGAUGUGGUUUUUAACACAUUAGGCGCUGUUGUACAUGAAUCAUGCCUCAGGUUUUGUAAUGACGAUGGCAUUGUUGUUACAACUGUUGCCACGCGAAUUGCCUCAGACUCGUAUGGUUUCAUACUAGGAGCUUUGUAUGCUCUCUGGGUUAAAGUUCAAUGUCUAGUUUUGAAGCAGGAGAGAGUGGCUUGGGGUGCAGUUCAUCUUAAUAGUGAUACCCUGAAUGAACUGGCAAGGCUAGUGGACAAUGGACAACUCCAACCUGUUGUGGACAAAAUUUUUUCUCCUCGAGAUGUAGAGCUGGCGUUCCAACAUACAGACUCUGCCCAGGCUAUCGGAAAGACAGUUAUUCGUUUCAGCUCUCGCUUCAGAUGACAUGGACUUUGGGGCAGGAUCGGUGGGACUCCUUACAGAUCUGCCCCAGCACCUUAUUCUUAAAGCAGUCCUUUCGUGUUUGUCCUAGUAUGUGUCCCAUAAAUUGCAUGUGGCUUUGGGUACAUUGAUGAUGACAACCAGUCUACCCGCUCUCGAUCUUCAGUCAGAUCUUCAAAGCCUGACAUUCUCUCGUAACUGAUUCCUACAACAUAUCCACAAGCAGUGUUGCUUGAAGGACUAUCAUCUGUAUCUCUAUACAUACUCAGAUUACUCUUAUGCUAAUUGAUGUUUGGAUUUGUGUGUCCUACCAUCAUUUCUGAAGCUGUAGGAUCUGCCUCAGAUUUACUGCUGGCAAGCUAAAGCAUGCAAGAGUUGAGUGAGCAAGUAGUCCUAUUACGGGUGUAGUUUAUCAUAUACAAGAUGUUGUUUCCAUUACUUGAUCAGUUAUGUAGGUAGUUAUAAGAAAUUGGCCAGCCAAGAUAAACUGCCUUCUUUACAUGCUCUGGCACUGAAAUCAAUCAAUUUCAUCGCUGUCAGCCACUAUAUUCAAGAAAUGACGAGAGAUUGCUCUAGUCAUUUAUGGAUCUCUCUAUCCUCUUUUGUCAUGACGACUAAACACAUAAGAGAAUUUAUUCUUUUCUCUUUGUUUGAGUGAGUGUAUAAUGAAACUGAAAUUAUGCUUGAAAUAUCAAAAUAAUGUUGAGAAUUUUGUUGAACUGGUACUUAUAUCUGAUUUUUUUCAGUUUGGUUCAUUAGUCACCUACUUUGAGUAUACUUGUACUUCGUAAGCACUAUCCUAGAAAAUUGUCAGUUCCUCUCCUUCAAAUCUAGUUUGACUGUAGACUGCCUUGUUCAUUCAUCAACAAAACUGAAGAUAGAUCUUAGAAGAAAUUGUACAUAAAAUUUUAUUUUGAAAUAUGAACUAAAUAAUGAUGA